GUGUAUUCGAGGAUUAACGAAUGAGAAGGAAUAAAGUGAAGGAUAUCUCAGUGCAGUGCAUCAUCCAUUUCCAGGGGGAACAGAAGCCAUCUGACUUGACCCCAUGGAGUACUUGCCAAGGAAGCUUGUAUUAGUUCUAUUAUUGACUCUUCCAACAUAUUUUUUAAUUGGAAAGUGGCCUAGAGGUGAAGAUCCUGUUGCCAUCAGCAUCGAACCGUCGGUUGUCCUUGUUGGAGAUCAAGUGACUCUGUCCUGCCAGGUGGCAGACAGUGUCCCCUAUAACACGAGUGUGCUCUGGUACAAAAUGGAAAAGGGGAGGGGUGCUCCACUGUGCUCUUCCUCCAGCCUGGGUGGGGUGGUGGAGCAGUGCCAGGAUGAAGAAGAGCAGAGGAUGACGGGACACUGGCAGGGAAGAGCACUUCUUCUGGUUAUCCGGCAAGUGCGAAUCGCCGACGAGGGGACGUACGUUUGUGCACUGAACGGCAGUGUUGUCACACACGAGGCUACUACUCACCUUGAUGUUACAGCAAUUGGGUAUAAGCCAACAUUGGACAGGGAUCUGCAAGAGGAGAGAAUGUGUCGCUACACGUGUAAGUCAAAGAAAUGGUACCCAAAGCCUGAAGUCUUUUGGAUGAGCUAUGGAGGAGACACAGUAAAUGUGGAGGCUGAGACCCAUGUAACCUGGAGUGAGAGAGACCAUUUCACAGUGCAGAGCAGCAUCACAGUGCCUUGUGAUAACGUAGAUGUGGUGUGUGUAGUCAAACUCCUCAAAUCCAAGAUAAGCCGAUCAGGUGCCAUGAAUGAAAUUAUUGUGCCACAGCCAACCACUUGUACGUACAAGGGCAGAAUAAGUGGUUCCUCUGUAAAGCCCAAAGUGAUGUGGGUUAAUCCCCAAGGAGAAGAUCUAUCUUCACUGGCCCACACAAGCAUUCUGCAGGAGACGGAUGGUAUUUUUACAAUAGAAAGCUCCAUUGAGAUACCCUGUGGACAACCGCCACCUUCUUUUGUGCCCACUGAGAGGGAACAGGGUCCAUGGAUAGCUCAACAGCCAGAAAACGGAAACAUGAUUUGGAUUAUCAGCUCCUUUGUUUCCAUUAUUUUACUAGCACUCCUUCUGAGGCAGAUUGGAAAGCAGAAGGAGAUUGAGGAACUGCGCGCAACGAACGCACAGCUCCAGAGGCAGAUUGAGGAGCUCCCGUCACAAGACAGGAGUGGUGCAGAGAAGGAGAACCUGAAGAAGGAGAUAAGUGAGUGUCGCUUUUCCCCUGGAGGUCGUGUGAGCCAGCUAAUUGUGAGGUUUGGGGGUCUUCAUAGUGUGUUGCUUGUGGGUUCUGCCUUCUUGAGGUUUUGGUGCCAGCAGGAAUGUGAGGGAAAGGUAUGUAGAGGUAAGGCUGAGAUGGGGCUGAAGGGGCUGCAGAACCUCAGCUAUCAACCAGCCCAGGGACAUUGUGGGAAAAUGGGUGAUGACGGGGUAUUGAAGAGAUCCCUGCCAGAGUCAGAAGCUUGUGAGAUGCAGCUCCAAGGAGCGUUAGUCGGCCACCAGGCCAGAUUUUUUGUGGCUUCCUUGGGUAGAAUGUCCCCUAGUGGACUGCUUUGUAUGUUAUGGUUCUUGCCCUGACUUGGCUUUCUUGCCCUUUUUCUCUUGCUGCCCACGGGGACUUGGCAGAAAAACUGCGUGAAAAGGAAGGUGAGUCCCUCUGGUUGCCUGUGUGCUUUCAUGUUUAUUGUUGUUGAAAGUUGUCUAUACUUUUGCCUCCACGUUCCUUGGAAAUAUGUCACCUCAAUUCUUCAGGAAGCUGUUUCCAUUAGGAAGCCAAACCCAAUCCAUGGGAAUAACUCACAGUAGCUCAAAUGAUCCUCUUUUACAUGCUGUGUUCUUUCCAUGUCCUUUGAUACAUCCAGCUUUAUUGACCUGCCCAUACUUUUCUGCCUGCUGCCCUCUGCUGUUCAAAAGAUUACCUCUUAUCACUUGUGACUCCGGCUUUCUAGUUGGAAAAGUUCUUCCUUGUAUGCAGGGGAAGAACAAGAGCCCAUUUAGAAAUGACAGUCAAUGUCUCGUAGAUCUCACUGCAUGGAAACCUGUGGUGAUUUCAGAAACAGCAGGCAAAAAGAUGGCAUUUCAGGAGAUGGCUGAUCCAGAACCAUCCUCUAGUGCUACCAAGUACUGAUGUCUAAUCCACAGUAACCUUUUCUUUCUGUGUGUUUCUCUUGUUUGCAGUGGAUCAGAUGGAAGAAAUUGGUAAGUCGUUAUUGCUUAGUGAAGGGGGAAGACUGAAGAGAGGAAGAGGGUUCUUGUUUUAAAGGGCAAUUAAUUUAGAGCUUGUAAACUCCUGGGGAUUUGAAACGUUCCCUUUAUGCAGUUCCAAGUGCAUAUCUCACACCUGUAUGUUCACGGGCUCAGCUAUUUGUCCAAAACUCAAUGUUUUUCACAUACAGAUGCCUGCCUUUGAGCUAAUCCCUUAAAUUCACAUCUCAGAACUGCACAAUCCUACUGGGACCCCUGCUGAGUUGUCUUUUCAUGUUUCACACGUAAAAACACAAGUUCACCUGAUUCUGCCCUGGAAAACAGUUAAUAUUUACUUGUCUGUUUUGACUUCUCAGCAGCUUAGUUUGGAUAG
rnacentral:lncRNA from 1 species